rnacentral:tRNA from 1 species
GCCCUCGUAGCUCAGUGGAUAGAGCAUUCGCCUCCGACGCGAUGUGCGCUGGUUCGAUUCCAGUCGAGGGUA